AUUGAACGCUGGCGGCAGGCUUAACACAUGCAAGUCGAGCGGAGAUGAGGUGCUUGCACCUUAUCUUAGCGGCGGACGGGUGAGUAAUGCUUAGGAAUCUGCCUAUUAGUGGGGGACAACAUUCCGAAAGGAAUGCUAAUACCGCAUACGUCCUACGGGAGAAAGCAGGGGAUCUUCGGACCUUGCGCUAAUAGAUGAGCCUAAGUCGGAUUAGCUAGUUGGUGGGGUAAAGGCCUACCAAGGCGACGAUCUGUAGCGGGUCUGAGAGGAUGAUCCGCCACACUGGGACUGAGACACGGCCCAGACUCCUACGGGAGGCAGCAGUGGGGAAUAUUGGGCAAUGGGCGCAAGCCUGAUCCAGCCAUGCCGCGUGUGUGAAGAAGGCCUUUUGGUUGUAAAGCACUUUAAGCGAGGAGGAGGCUCCUUUAGUUAAUACCUAAAGAGAGUGGACGUUACUCGCAGAAUAAGCACCGGCUAACUCUGUGCCAGCCGCCGCCGUAAUAC
rnacentral:rRNA from 1 species